CAGGUGUUGUGAGCAGGCUGGCCGGAGAGCGCUGUGGCGGCACGCACACGCACACGCACACGCUCACACAUACACGCCCUGCCAGACACGCACACACACACACACACACACACAGGCCAGGGGUGGAGGAGGAGGAGGGUAGUGUACAUGUACGUGUGUGCGUGUGUGUGUGUCGGUAUGCGGUUCUCGAUACGUACACGCGUUUGAUAGACACGACACGGAGGAGGUGGAAAUAACUGUGCGGUUUUGACCGAUAUUUUUGUACAAGGAAGAAAAAAAGUUAAUUAUAUGAUAAGAGUGACAUGACAUCUCAGUAAGAAAAAAAAAUAUAAAGUCUAAUAUCACUCUCCCAGAAAAUAAGGAGACGAGGAGAAAGGGAAAGAAGCGAAGAUAUAAGAGAAACACGAGAAAGGGUAAGAGGAUGAAUAGAUAAAAGAACACCCCAGAAAAUAAGGAGAAUAAGAGAAAAGGAAAGAAGAGAAGAUAUAAGAGAAACACGAGAAAGAGGAAGAGGAAAAACAAAUAAAAGACCAAUCCAGAAAAUAAGGAGAAUAAGAGAAAAGGAAAGAAGAGAAGAUAUAAGAGAAACACGAGAAAGAGGAAGAGGAAAAACAAAUAAAAGACCACUCCAGAAAAUAAGGAGAAUAAGAGAAAAGGAAAGAAGAGAAGAUAUAAGAGAAACACGAGAAAGAGGAAGAGGAAAAACAAAUAAAAGACCACUCCAGAAAAUAAGGAGAAUAAGAGAAAAGGAAAGAAGAGAAGAUAUAAGAGAAACACGAGAAAGAGGAAGAGGAAAAAGAAAUAAAAAGCAGGACUCAAGAGGAGAAACCAAUAGGCGCGUCUUCUUCAUUUCUCUCUUCUUCCAAAAUACGAAUGACAAUACAAACUUUAGAGAAACACGCUAUUUAGAAGAGGAGGAAGAAGAGAAGAAGAGGAAAAAACAAGAACAACAAGAAAGAGAAACUGCAGAUGGGUUUUCUCAUUCUCUCUUUUCCUCCAAAAAAGACAAUAAAGAAUAUCAAUAAUGCGGGUAAUAAAGGAGUAAGAAGAACACAAUAAAGAGGAUAAAAAGAGGAUGAAGAUAAGACAGUUUGCGUCUUUUUCUCUUCGCUCUUUCAAAACAGAACAAUAAGAACAUCGACAAUAAAGAACUAGGAAAAAAUAUAGGAAAAGGAGAAUGAGAUAAGUAGGAAAAGUAACAAAAAAAAGAUUAAAAGGAAAACGGAGAAAAAAAGAGAGAAAGAAAGAUACGUCAGUCUGUGCCCAUUUCUCCUCUCUCACUCCACGUCAUGAGGGUUCUCCACAACGCCCUCCCCCCCCUGGUGCUGCUGCUGUUGCUGUUGUUGCUGCUGUUGUGCGUGAAGGCAACACUGCAAACCCCGGAGGAAGAGAGAGUAUCUAGAGUCCGGGUUGGUGGGCGGUCUUCAGCGGCGGGCGGGACGGGAGCCCGGGUCUCCCUGGACGCCGCGCCCGCACGCUAACCACUCAGCCACCGCAUCCCCUUAGCUUUUCUUCAUUUUUUUUUUAGCUGAAUGUGGUGAUGCAUAUUAUGGUGAUGGUGUUAUGUUUGUUAUGGAUUUGUUGCUUCAUAAUAUUGGUGUUAAAUUUGUUAUCUUUGUGAUUUGUAAGUUAUUUUGGGGUGCUGUAUUGUUUUGCUAUAUUUUAUGGUGAGUUCUAUUUUCUCUGUUGGUUUAAAUUAUAUAUUUUUUGUAUUGGUUUUGUUCUUAAUUUUGUUGUUAUUUAUAUCACUGCUCUUGUUGUUUUAUUGUUAUCAUCAGUAUUAUCCUCUAUUUACUUUUACCCUCUUCCGCCCUCCCUCCCAUACUUUUGCUCUCUCCCUCACUUCAUCCCUUCUUCCCUAACUUAGUCUGACCAACAUUAUUUUUCAUUACUGCUAUAAGCCUUUUUGUUAAUAGUGUUGCUGUUUCCCGUGCUAUUGCUGCCGUUGGUGGUAAAUACA